GUAGUUGCUAUAGUCUUGAAACCUAAAGGGUAUGGCGGUCUUCAAUCAAAUCAGAGGAACCUGCCCAGUAAGCGAUAACCCACGAUUUAUCUUACCCUCCUUAGGUUUGUAUACCGUCGUCUAGGCUUCAUUUAAAGGUAGGGCUGCAAGUAGAAUAUAAGUAAGUCAGAUCCAGGCGCAGCUUAGAAGGGUUGAGGUGGGUUACAAUUAAAUUUUUAGUGGGGGAGGGAGUAUUUGCCCUAAAUAAAUAGGAUUUGAAAGUAACUUUUAGUUUAAUAGACUUUAGUGAUUUAGAUUUUGAGGAUGUACACAUCG
rnacentral:rRNA from 1 species